rnacentral:rRNA from 1 species
AUUCCAGCUCCAAUAGCGUAUAUUAAAGUUGUUGCAGUUAAAAAGCUCGUAGUUGGAUUUCUGGCGUCGCCGCCCGGUUGGCCUCGAAAGGGGUAUGUACUGGGGCGCGCGUUGCCAUCCUCGGGGGAAGGCCGCCUGGCAUUAGGUUAUCGGACGGUCGACGCUCGUCGUUUACUGUGAACAAAUUAGAGUGUUCAAAGCAGGCUUAGGCCGUUGAAUACAUUAGCAUGGAAUAAUGAGAUAGGACUUUGGUGGUCUAUUUUGUUGGUUUGCACGCCGAAGUAAUGAUUAAUAGGGGCGGUUGGGGGUAUUCGUAUUCAAUUGUCAGAGGUGAAAUUCUUGGAUUUAUGGAAGACGAACUACUGCGAAAGCAUUUACCAAGGAUGUUUUCAUUA